rnacentral:rRNA from 1 species
CCUACUGGAGGCAGCAGUAGGGAAUUUUCGGCAAUGGGGGGAACCCUGACCGAGCAACGCCGCGUGAACGAAGAAGUUACUCGUAAUGUAAAGUUCUUUUAACAGGGAAGAAAGAGAAAUUUGAUGGUACCUGAAGAAUAAGCUCCGGCUAACUACGUGCCAGCAGACGCGGUAAUACGUAGGGAGCGAGCGUUAUCCGGAAUUAUUGGGGGAAAAGGGUGCGUAGAGGGCAUAGGAAGUCUUUUGUAAAAAUGCUGGGCUCAACCUAGUAGGGCAAGAGAUACUGCAAAGCUAGAGUAUGAGAGAGGCAGGUGGAACUACAUGUGUAGCGGUAAAAUGCGUAGAUAUCUGUAAGAACACCAGUGGCGAAGGCGGCUUGCUGGGUCGAUACUGACAUUGAGGCACGAAAGCGUGGGGAGCAAACAGGAUUAGAUACCCUUGUAGUC